CACACAUGAAAACAAACAGUUUCCUUCAUUUGCACACGUCGCUGAUGACUCACAGAGCUUCUACUGAGAAGAGAGUUUUUGGAUUCCUCUCCAGGGCGCUUAUCUGGUGAGAAGAACAUGUAAUGCUAUAUGUAGGACACUGACCUAAACUGCUUGACCUCUGGCAAGGGUGGUCAAAGGUCAACUCACUUGACAUCUCUGCCCACAUCUUACUGAUGAACACACCCGGACCGCGUCUGAUGAGCGCUUCAACGCACAUCUGUGCAUGGCAAGAGGCAUUUUUAAUUUCACUGGAGGAUAAAAAGGCAG